ACGUACACUCCUGCGGGAGGCAGCAGUGGGGAAUAUUGGACAAUGGGCGCAAGCCUGAUCCAGCCAUGCCGCGUGAGUGAUGAAGGCCCUAGGGUUGUAAAGCUCUUUCACCGGUGAAGAUAAUGACGGUAACCGGAGAAGAAGCCCCGGCUAACUUCGUGCCAGCAGCCGCGGUAAUACGAAGGGGGCUAGCGUUGUUCGGAUUUACUGGGCGUAAAGCGCACGUAGGCGGACUAUUAAGUCAGGGGUGAAAUCCCGGGGCUCAACCCCGGAACUGCCUUUGAUACUGGUAGUCUGGAGUUCGAGAGAGGUGAGUGGAAUUCCAAGUGUAGAGGUGAAAGUCGUAGAUAUUCGGAGGAACACCAGUGGCGAAGGCGGCUCACUGGCUCGAUACUGACGCUGAGGUGCGAAAGCGUGGGGAGCAAACAGGAUUAGAUACCCCUGUAGUCCCAUG
rnacentral:rRNA from 1 species